GGAAGCCGCGCGGCCCGGAGACGGCAGAGGCUGGCCGGGCGGAGCUGGGGGCCUGGGCGGGCCCGGCGUGGGUGCGCCCGCCAGGCCCCGUGUGGGCCACCCGCGAUUUGGACUCUGCCGGGCGUCCGGAGAGGUUUAAUCCUUCUUGGGCUUCUAAAGAAAAUGGCAGAAACAUCAUCAGAGCCUUCUGGGCAGCUGGUUGUACACUCAGACACUCACAGUGACACCAUCCUGGCCAGUUUCGAGGAUCAGAGGAAGAAAGGCUUCCUCUGUGACAUUACUUUAAUCGUGGAGAAUGUGCAUUUCCGGGCCCACAAAGCCUUACUUGCUGCCAGUAGUGAAUACUUCUCAAUGAUGUUUGCUGAAGAGGGGGAGAUUGGCCAGUCCAUUUAUAUGCUGGAAGGCAUGGUUGCCGACACGUUUAGUAUCCUGCUGGAAUUUAUCUACACGGGUUGUCUCCAGGCCAGUGAGAAAAGUACAGAACAAAUCCUGGCUACUGCCCAGUUCUUAAAAGUCUAUGACCUGGUAAAGGCUUACACAGACUUUCAAAAUAAUCAUAGCUCCCCAAAGCCACCGACUUUGAACACAGCUGGCGCUCCAGUGGUUGUUAUUUCUAAUAAGAAAAAUGAUCAUCCAAAGCGGAAACGGGGAAGACCAAGAAAAGUCAACAGUCUGCAGGAGGGGAAAUCAGAACUGGCUGCAGAGGAAGAAAUACAGCUGAGAGUGAACAAUUCAGUUCAGAAUAGACAAAACUUUGUGGUUAAAGAGGGAGACGAUGGUGUACUGAAUGAACAGAUUCCAGCAAAAGAAUUGGAAGAAUCUGAGCCGGCUUGUGAGCCAGGUAGAGGGGAGGAAAUGCCAGCUGAAAAAGAUGAGAACUGUGAUCCCAAGAUCCAGGAUGGGCAGGACAACCAGAAUCGGUGCAGCAAGCGGAGGAUUCGGAGGUCCGUCAAACUGAAAGAUUAUAAACUAGUUGGGGAUGAAGACGACCAGGGUUCAGCCAAGAGGGUCUGUGGAAGGAGGAAGCGCCCUGGUGGCCCCGAGGCCCGUUGUAAAGACUGUGGCAAAGUGUUUAAGUAUAAUCACUUUUUAGCAAUCCACCAGAGAAGCCACACGGGGGAGCGACCUUUCAAAUGUAAUGAGUGUGGAAAAGGCUUUGCCCAGAAGCACUCCCUGCAGGUCCACACCCGGAUGCACACAGGCGAGCGGCCGUACACCUGCACCGUGUGCAGCAAGGCUCUCACCACCAAGCACUCGCUGCUGGAGCACAUGAGCCUGCACUCAGGACAGAAGUCUUUUACAUGUGAUCAGUGUGGAAAAUAUUUCAGCCAGAAAAGACAACUAAAGAGCCAUUACCGAGUUCAUACAGGCCACUCGUUACCGGAAUGUAACCACUGCCGCCGCAAAUUCAUGGAUGUGUCUCAGCUAAAGAAACAUCUGCGGACACACACAGCUCCGUGCUUUGUUGAGGGUCCGCCCAUCCUUGUAGAGCUGAGGCAAAGGAAGAAGGAAUGUGUCGGUGAACCGGAGGCAGUGGAGCCAUGUAACCAUUACCAGAACAAGUUAGGAACCAGAGGAGUAGGAAGACUUUCCCCAGAUUCACGUUGGCUAGGAAAAUUUGCCUUCUUACUGUGCUCGAGGAUGUUUCUGGAAAGAGUUUCCAGUAUUGAAAACAUUUGCCAACAAAAUUCCUGAGGUGUUGCAACCCCAGAUGGAAUUGAAUGAUAACGUGAACGUUGUUGUAUGUGCUCCCCACACAGAACUUUACAGUGACAGGCGGACAGAGCAGGUACUCAGUCUUGGAAUUGGGAGAGGGAGAAAAACCGAGAUCAGAAUAGAACGCAGCUCUGGUUGGAAAGCUGUGGAAAGAAUGACAGUGGCCUGGUUUUAACCUUCGGAGUGGUAAGAGUUACUGCUGCAAAGACGCAGACUCACCCAAAUUGUCAUAAGUGUCCUCUGCCUAGACUGAACUUGGGGAAACAUCUCACCUGAAUUUUCUAGUAGAUGCUGUGAAAGGGAAGCUACCUGACCAUCCCCCACUUCACUCAUCCCUUGUUAUAUAGUUAAGUGGGAUUUUUCUUUUUUCUUUUUCUUCUUUUUUUUUUCAAAUUCAUAGUUCCCUUGCCUGCAUUAGGAUCACUUAGUUGCAUUUCUGGAGGGCAUGGCAGUCUGUCAUUGUAUGUGCAGUGUAUAAACUAGCACUAAAUAAAUGCUGUUGAAGCCUUAUUAAAAUUGUCAGGGACUUCCCUGGUGGCUCAGUGGUUAAGAAUCCGCCUGCCAGUGCAGGGGACACGGGUUCGAUCCCUGGUCCAGGAAGAUCCCACAUGCCGCAGAGCAGCUAAGCCCGUUUGCCACAACUACUGAGCCUGCGCUCUAGAGCCCGUGUUCCACAACAAGAGAAGCCACCGCAAUGAGAGGUCCACGCACCGCAAUGAAAAGUAGGCCCCUCUCGCCGCAACUAGAAAAAGCCUGUGUGCAAUAACGAAGACCCAAUGCGGCCGUAAAUAAAUAGAUAGAUAGAUAAAUAAAUCUAUUUCUUAAAAAAAAAAUUGCCAGACCCCACUAGGGGUCCGGAGCAGUCACGACAUCUUAUGUGGGCCUCAGUUCCCACUCUGUGAAAUUCAUUUACUCAACAAGGAUUUCUGGAACAGUGUGCGAGGCCCAGUUCUAGGCACUGGGGUCCUAGGAGUAGGCAGACUCACAGAUCAUCCUACAUAAGACUGGGAGAGAGAGGUAUAAUAAAUAACAUACAGUAUAUAAGGUGGCGAUAGCAUUGUGGGAAAACUGACUUGGGAAGUGGACCAAGACAUGCUGGGGCGGUGCUUUGGGUGGUGAUAAAGGCUCACUGGUAGUGUGACACUUGAGCAGAGACUUGAAGGCAGUGUGGAGAGUGAACCACACUGGGAGACCCUGGGGGAGACAUGCCAGGGAGAGGGAGGGGAUGAUGAGUGCGAGGGCCCUGAGCGUGGCUUGCUUGGGGUGUGGUGUUCAGGGCCUCUCCAGGGGCUGUGUGAUGAGCAGGGGAGAGUACCUGGUGAGGUUAGGCAGGUUUGGGGUGGGGAGUGGCAGUGGGUGGACAGAUCUGUCAGAGCUGUGAUUCCUUGUAGGCCCAGGGCUUUGGCUUUUAUCUCUGGAUGGGAUGGGGAGCCAUUAGAGCACUUGCAGCAGAGCGUGAUAGGAUCUGACUGUGUAAAGGGUCACUCCAGUUGCCUCAUUCAUUGUGGACGACAGGGAAGCAGAGCAGAAGUGGGCAAACUCACAAGGAGGCUGCUGCAGGGAGGUGAUGGCAGCCUGGGCCAGGGGUGGCAGGUUCUGGAUACACUGGGAAGGUAGAUAUAAAUGUGAAUAAUCCACAAGUCACCCUGGUACUCAGGGGCCCUUGGGAAGGUCAAGCAGUAAAGUGUGGGAGUGUAAGUUACCUAAGGGUGGACUGUACAGGAGCGAAUGUGUGUCCUUUGUAGAAUCACUUACCCCCUUGUUUCAGUGUUUAAGUGUUUGAGGGAAAGAACCGUACCCACUUUCUCUGUAUCCUCCUGGCAUCUAGGACACAGUGCUCAGGUACGUAGUAGGUGCUCGCUAAGUGCUUCAUUCAUUCACUCAUGCUUACUGAGGGUUCAAGAGCUGACCCGAACACGUGCCUUUGUGUUUUUUUAUAUUGUGAAACUAUGGGGUGGUUUUUGCUUUUUGUUUUAUUUUGGAUGUAUAUUUCUGAACGCUUUCCCCUUUUUUAGGUGAGAAGCCAUUUACUUGUGAAAUCUGUGGCAAAUCUUUCACAGCAAAGAGUUCUCUUCAGACGCACAUCAGGAUCCAUCGAGGAGAAAAGCCAUAUUCCUGUACCGUGUGUGGCAAAUCCUUCUCUGACUCGAGUGCCAAGAGGAGAC